rnacentral:rRNA from 1 species
UACGGAGGGUGCGAGCGUUGUCCGGAAUCACUGGGCGUAAAGGGCGCGUAGGCGGCCUGAUAAGUAGGGGGUGAAAUCCUGCGGCUUAACCGCAGAGCUGCCUUCUAAACUGUCAGGCUCGAGCACAGUAGAGGCAGGUGGAAUUCCCGGUGUAGCGGUGGAAUGCGUAGAGAUCGGGAAGAACAUCAGUGGUGAAGGCGGCCUGCUGGGCUGUUGCUGACGCUGAGGCGCGACAGCGUGGGGAGCAAACAGG